rnacentral:misc_RNA from 1 species
AAGUCGUAACAAGGUUUCCGUAGGUGAACCUGCGGAAGGAUCAUUAAAGAAUGGGCUUCGGCCUGUUUCAUUAUUAACCAUGUGAACUGUUCUUGAUUUGGGUGGGACGUGCAUUGGGGCUUGUCCUCAUUGCACCUCGGCUCACGAGUGUGCCCGCCCAAGGUUUUUAUACUUUUAUGUGGUGAAUGUCUUUUACAAAAAUAAAAGAAAACUUUCAACAACGGAUCUCUUGGCUCUC